UACGGAGGGUGCAAGCGUUAUCCGGAUUCACUGGGUUAAAGGGAGCGUAGGUGGGUUGAUAAGUCAGUGGUGAAAUCUUCGAGCUUAACUCGGAAACUGCCAUUGAUACUAUCAGUCUUGAAUAUUGUGGAGGUUAGCGGAAUAUGUCAUGUAGCGGUGAAAUGCUUAGAUAUGACAUAGAACACCAAUUGCGAAGGCAGCUGGCUACGCAUAUAUUGACACUGAGGCUCGAAAGCGUGGGGGAUCAAACAGG
rnacentral:rRNA from 1 species